UGGGGAGUAUCAGUUGCUGACAGUUAAGGCUGGCAGUUUCAGGAAGUUGGUUGCUGGGGUUUGAAGACAUUCCUUGAGAGUUGACUUAGUCAGAGAACUAAGGAGUGAGAAUGAAGUCACUUUUCAUCAUUAUCUGAAUUAAAAAGCAGCCAUCAGAAGAUGGGGAUACAGUCAGACACUUAGCUGGUAAAUAGGAAUGGGAGUUUUACUAAGCAUCUUCAUACAGAUGAAAAGGGACAAUUUAUAUACAGAAGAAAUAUUGGGACAUAGAGAUGACAACUUCCUUGCUUGGAGUUAUCUAGACUAAAGGUAUUUCUCUCCUGCAUUGUGCUUUGGAAUAUUGUAUUGACUUCAAUGUCAAUGAGUUUAAGAACUCAUCCAUUUGAGUACCCCACCACUACCAAUGG
rnacentral:lncRNA from 1 species